CAGGAAGCCACUAUUAUGGAAAUGCAAAAAGUGGCCAAAGUUUUAAGGAAUAUAUCAAGGGACAGUGAUGUAGAAUGGCGGAGACAUUUAUGGAGGGAAUUCUGAAGUUCAAGAUAGAGGCCAUUGUCAGCACCGGUGCUUAAAGGAUUCUCCCUUGAUUCAGCUAACCACAUAUGAACAAAGCCAGUUAACUACAUUCAAGAUCUCGAAUAGUUACAAAGCUCUUUGAGUAAGCCUAUGGUGAG